rnacentral:rRNA from 2 species
AACGAACGCUGGCGGCAGGCUUAACACAUGCAAGUCGAACGCCCCGCAAGGGGAGUGGCGCACGGGUGAGUAACGCGUGGGAACGUACCUUUCAGUUCGGAAUAACCUCGGGAAACUGAGGCUAAUACCGGAUAUUCUCUAUGGAGGAAAGAUUUAUCGCUGAAAGAUCGGCCCGCGUCAGAUUAGCUAGUUGGUGAGGUAAUGGCUCACCAAGGCUCCGAUCUGUAGCUGGUCUGAGAGGACGACCAGCCACACUGGAACUGAGACACGGUCCAGACUCCUACGGGAGGCAGCAGUGGGGAAUAUUGGACAAUGGGCGAAAGCCUGAUCCAGCCAUGCCGCGUGAAUGAUGAAGGCCUUAGGGUUGUAAAGUUCUUUUGCCAGGGAAGAUAAUGACGGUACCUGGAGAAUAAGCACCGGCUAACUUCGUGCCAGCAGCCGCGGUAAUACGAAGGGUGCUAGCGUUGUUCGGAAUUACUGGGCGUAAAGAGCGCGUAGGCGGUUAUACAAGUCAGGGGUGAAAUCCCGGAGCUUAACUCCGGAACUGCCUUUGAAACUGUAUAACAGGAGUGUGUGAGGGGAUAGCGGAAUUCCUAAUGUAGAGGUGAAAUUCGUAGAUAUUAGGAGGAACACCGGUGGCGAAGGCGGCUAUCUGGCACACAACUGACGCUGAGGCGCGAAAGCGUGGGGAUCAAACAGGAUUAGAUACCCUGGUAGUCCACGCCGUAAACGAUGAAUGCUAGCUGUUGGAUCCGUAGGAUUCAAUAGUGAAGCUAACGCAUUAAGCAUUCCGCCUGGGGAGUACGGUCGCAAGAUUAAAACUCAAAGAAAUUGACGGGGACCCGCACAAGCGGUGGAGCAUGUGGUUUAAUUCGAGGCAACGCGAAGAACCUUACCAGGUCUUGACAUGUAUGCUAUGGACUUUUGAAAGAGGGUCCUUCACUUCGGGUGGGCAUACACAGGUGCUGCAUGGCUGUCGUCAGCUCGUGUCGUGAGAUGUUGGGUUAAGUCCCGCAACGAGCGCAACCCUCAUUCUUAGUUGCCAACAGGUUAUGCUGGGAACUCUAAGAAAACUGCCGGUGAUAAGCCGGAGGAAGGUGGGGAUGACGUCAAGUCUUCAUGGUCCUUACGACCUGGGCUACACACGUGCUACAAUGGCGGUGACAAUGGGAAGCCAACCUGCAAGGGUGCGCAAAUCUCAAAAAGCCGUCUCAGUUCGGAUUGCACUCUGCAACUCGAGUGCAUGAAGCUGGAAUCGCUAGUAAUCGUAGAUCAGCAUGCUACGGUGAAUACGUUCCCGGGUCUUGUACACACCGCCCGUCACACCAUGGAAGUUGGUUCUACCUUAAGCAGCUGUGCUAACCGCAAGGAGGCAGGCUACCACGGUAGGGUCAAUGACUGGGGUG